CCCUUAGAUGUUCUGGGCUGCACGCGCGCUACACUGGUGCGUUCAGCGAGUUUAGCACCUUAACAGAUAUGUUUGGGUAAUCUUCUGAAAACGCACCGUGAUGGGGAUCGAUUAUUGUAAUUAUUAAUCGUCAACGAGGAAUUCCUAGUAAGUGUGAAUCAUCAGUUCGCGCUGAUUACGUCCCUGCCCUUUGUACACACCGCCCGUCGCUGCUACCGAUUGAGUGGUCCGGUGAAUUAUUCGGACUGGUGGACUGUGGGGAAACCCGCGGCCUGCUGGGAAGUCUUGUGAACCUUAUCACUUAGAGGAAGCAGAAGUCGUAACA
rnacentral:rRNA from 1 species